CAGAGUCAGUGUGGAGGCUAUAUACAGGGGGUACCGGUACAGAGUCAAUGUGGAGGCUAUAUACAGGGGGUACCGGUACAGAGUCAAUGUGGAGACUAUAUACAGGGGGGUACCGGUACAGAGUCAAUGUGGAGGCUAGAUACAGGGGGGUACCGGUACAGAGUCAAUGUGGAGACUAUAUACAGGGGGGUACCGGUACAGAGUCAAUGUGGAGACUAUAUACAGGGGGGUACCGGUACAGAGUCAAUGUGGAGGCUAUAUACAGGGGGUACCGGUACAGAGUCAAUGUGGAGGCUAGAUACAGGGGGGUACCGGUACAGAGUCAAUGUGGAGGCUAUAUACAGGGGGGUACUGGUACAGAGUCAAUGUGGAGGCUAUAUACAGGGGGGUACCGGGACAGAGUCAAUGUGGAGGCUAUAUACAGGGGGUACCAGUACAGAGUCAAUGUGGAGGCUAUAUACAGGGGGUACCGGUACAGAGUCAAUGUGGAGGCUAUAUACAGGGGGGUACCGGUACAGAGUCAAUGUGGAGGCUAUAUACAGGGGGUACCGGUACAGAGUCAAUGUGGAGGCUAUAUACAGGGGGUACCGGUACAGAGUCAAUGUGGAGGCUAUAUACAGGGGGUACCGGUACAGAGUCA
rnacentral:lncRNA from 1 species